UCUCCUCCUCCUCUUCCUCCCCCCCUCCCCCUCCUCCUCCUCAGGGAAGGUUUCUUGGAGCCUCACUCUGACACGGGGCCUUCCGGCUGGACUCUCAGCCGUGCCCCGCAUGCUGGUCUGAAACCUGGCUGCUGUGGCCCCUGGUCUCUGUGCUGGGAGACAGUGCCAGGCCUGGCAGGGACGGAGACCGUGAGGAGGGCAGCCCCGAGGAAAGGAUGGGCCUCACCUAGGCCUCCUGUCCAGUCAGGCCUGCGUCCCCCGUUCCUUGUUCCCCAGGGACCCUCGCGAGCGGUGGCGGGUGGCGCCUACGCCUGGCAGCGAGGCCCAGCCUGGCGCAGGGAAGCCUGCCGUCUCCUCCCCGCGUCCCUGCGUUUUACAUAAUUAGGUAAGUCUCUUAAUGUCGCUGUGUCUUGUUAGAGAAGGUACUAAUCCUUAGAGCUAACAGGACUAACUAAUUAGUGUAAAACACUGAAAUAUAAGAAAUUCAGAUGUGGAGUGUAAUUGGCCAGUCCUCCUGGUAUUGGCACGUUGGCGGCAUCCCUAGUAGAGCCACGGGCCUGGCUGCCUCCAGGAGACGUCUGAGGUGGUGGCGUGAGUGAGGCGGGCUGUCCUGGAGGCCAGGCUGCCCGGACGCGUAUCCUGGGCACCUUUGCCCGAUGAAGUGACCUGGGACAGAGACGAGGGAACUGGCAGGCAGCCCCAGGGAAACGGCGUGGGCUGCGGUGGCCUGGUCAUCACUGGCUCAGCACCUGCAGGCUGGUCUGGGCGGGGCCAGGUGAGGCUUGUCUGUGGGCAGCCUGAUGGGGCUGCAGUGCUGGUGGGUCAGGCUGUGUGACCCUCAGCUUCCUCCUCUCUAGGAGGGAGCUCAUGAGGUUGCUUGCCUCCCCUCCAGAGGCGGCAGACCAGCUCGCGGCAGUUCGGACCAUCCGGCUGACAAAGGGCAGAUGCUGAACUUCCCGUCGGCGGGCACUGGCCCAGAAAAGAUGCCCGGCCCGGACCCAGCUCCCCAGCCACUCGGCCACCACGGGGGCAGGGUUCCCGGGGUCCUUGGACACGAGGAGGAAAGUGCUCGUUGGGGCUCGCUUCCGAAGGGUGUGUGGAGGUGUCAGCGAAUCAUUAAUCUCUCUCUAAACCACGGUGGCAGUGUUUACACUUCAGAUCAGACGAUGACGGUCUGAAGAGCGCCCUGGAAGCUCUCCUCGCAACUGGAAAAACACAGCAGCCGGUUCGCGGGGCCGAGUCCUGAGCCAAAAACAACGCGAGCCCCGGCGCAGCGAGGCGAUGUCGGCCCCUGACAGCGAGCGGACUGGGUCGCCUCCACUUCGGAAAAUCGUGGCCUGCGUGUGCGCUCGGUGGCUGAGCUUUCGGGUCCACCUGAGACACCCCAGCUCCAAAAGACAUUCCUGAAAAGAAUUGUCUUGAACUUCUAAAAAAACGAGCGUGUUCCCGACAACACGGCCAAGCGCCAGGGCCCGCAGGGGUGAAGAGCCAGCUUACCCAGCACCGGCCAGGGCCGUCCUCCCGGCCUCCCCUCCAGCGCUCCGCAGCCUGAGCCAGCGCUGUGGGCUGGUGGAUGGUCUCAUCCGGCCGCCGGGGUCCCUGCUCCCCAGACGGGGUGCCCACAGCUCUGCCCUGAAAACUUCUGUCUCCUGGGCAUCUUCAGAAAGCAUUUUGUGCGGACAGCCCUCAGCUUCUGACCAGCCUUCCCUCCCCUCCCCACUCCCAGGCACAUCCCCCCAACCGGGAGCCUUGGGCACGUGCACGGCACUGCAGGGCGGGAGCAGCGCCUUCUAUCCCAACAUCCAUCCGGAAGACAGCAACCCAGUCCACGGGCAGUGGUGGGUCACGUGGCAUAGUGUGGCAUAGCAUGGCAUAGCAACAACGAGAUGUGUGUGAUAAAAAUGUUUAAGCGAUGGGAAGGAGUUGGUGGUGGGGGAGCGGAAUGAUUAAAUAACCGAAAAAUCAAUCCUCCAUUCUGUCUGGCCAGACGCACGUUUCUCGGCUCAGGUAAACGCACAGCAGCGACAAUCUUGCUCUCACAGUCUUGUCCAGGCUCCGAUCAUUUCCUUGAGACCGAUUCCCGAAGUGGACGUGGUGGGUGGGUACGGACACGGGUAAGUCUCUGGAUAUAAACAUGCCAACCGGCUCCUGGAAGGACUGUGCCACUUACAACUUCUGUGGACAACUGGCAGAAGGCCCUUUUCUCCACCAGCAGGACUGAUGCGAGCUUUUAAGGAAAGUCUUUUCUAAUUAAAUAAGGGAAAAUAAACUCCGUCUCAUUGUUUUCAUCUGAGAGCAUUUCAAGUGAGCUCCCAUGUAGUCUCCUGAGCUUCUGGGUCACUUGUCACUGCACGUUGACUGUGAAUUUGCCCCUUUUCCUUCAGGAUGCCUGUCCUGCCUUAUUGAUUUGCAAAAGCUCAUUGUAUAUUGGGAGUGUGGACCCUUUGUUGUCAUUGUAGCAGAUCCUCUUUCUCAGGGCGCCAGCCCGGCUUUGGCCCCCCAGCAGUGGCACGGGGAGGCGGCAAAGAGCUUGGUGUCUCAUAGGCAGAAACACCAGGUCUGGUCUUGGCUAACGACCACACCGCCGUCAGGGGCGUGAGCUGUGCAUGGCCCCCAUCAGUGCAGUGGCGGGAGCGGUCUGACGGGGCAGCAGGUGGGACCCCCAUGCCCCCUCCUGACCCUCGGUCUCUCUGACUUCCUUGUGGCCUCUUCUGACUCAGUCCUCAUCGCUCUCUUUCCUCUGUCCGCACCCUGUCCCCACGGUCAGGCGAUAGCAGCAGCUUUCCUGAGCCCUGGCCGGCUCAGCCCUCGCAGCCCCGCCCUGUGUGCUGCCUCAGUCCUGGCCUGCACGCUUGCUGUCCCUACCCCAUGUGCACAGCUCCUCCCCUCAGCCUGUUGCCCCUGCCCGUGCCCCACAUGCUGCUAGACUCGGUGUGGACCACGUGUGACCCCAGGACGCUGGUGGGAGAGUGGGGGGAGGCUCCUUGGCGGUCCCCUGGUGUGGUGGGGAGGCCCUGGGGCAGUGAGCCUGUGGCCUUGGCCGUGUCCUGAAGAGAGGCCCCUGGGCCGCAGCUAACAUUGCUGGACAAGCCAGCUUCCAUCUGUCCAGGUGGCUGGGCUGCACCAGGCCCCCCGGGGCGGGGGCGGCGUGUGUCCUCCUGAGCUUGGCUGGGAGCCCAGGGAGCGUGGUUCUGGCUCCAUCCCAAUGGUCUGUCUCUUGAAUUCCCGAAGGCCUCUGAGACCUGCAUCAGUGCAUGGGCCCGGGGGGUGCGGACUGGACACUUCACUUGGCACCGGCCUGGUCCUUCCAGCCCUCUGACCUUGGCUGGUCAUCCCCCUCUCUGAGCUGCAGUUUUGUCACCUGAGAGGGGGACCCACCUCAGCUCUGAGUGGCACUCCUCCGGGAGGACAGACGGGAGGACGGGACUGAUGUCCUGCUCGCCACCGGCUGGGACUGCGGGCGGGCGAGGACGGUGCUUAUUGGCUGCACGUAAACGUGGGAGACUGGCCGCGCUUUAGAGAUGGUUUCAUGCAAGGUGGUCUCGGCAACCUCGAUCAGAAAGGAUGUUCGCUUCCGUCCCCAGCCCCGUCUCUCCAGGACAGCGCGCCCCUCCACGCCAGCCGGGUGCUCCGCGGGACCUUCGGCUGCGCCAGUGCCUCCGACGUAGGGGCGGAUGGGGAGGGAGCCCCGCCCGUCAGGUGUGUGGGCAGGACCCUGGGAGGCUGGUGGCCUUAGAUGCUCCCCGGGUUUGGGGGGGCGCACGCGGCAGGUCCCGGACCUCCCCGCAGGCAGGGCAGGCUUUGCGAAGGGACGAGCCCCUGGGCUGAGACUGAAUGGCUGAGUAGGAAUUGGCCCUGCUUCCUCGCUGCCCCCGACCGUGAGUGCCCCGUGUGUGGCUGCGUGGCUGUGUGGCUCUGUGGCACCCCUUGGCGCUCCGUCUGGCUCUGUGUGGCUCCGGUGGCUCUGUGGGUGUGGCACAGAGCAGACUCGGGGCGUGGGCACAAACCCCGAUUUACUGCAGCCCCGGGACUGAGCGCCCGCCGGCCGUCAGUGGGCCUGGCUGCGCCUGGACGUCGGCCAGUUCCGCCAAGGACGGCGGUGUCCCCGGGUGGGGCCUCGGCCGGACUCGGAGCUGAAUGGCACCCACUCCGGUCGUGGGUUCACUUUUGCAGAACCACCGGGAGGGGGGCGAGUCAGAGCCGGUCUGAGUGUGCAGGGUCAGGAGCGGCCCGUCUGUCCCCGGCCCGGCCGGGGCUGCGCUCACGCCACUCCCUGGGAAACCUGCGGCCCCACACUGGGAAAUGACAAACGACCAGAAAAUCAAUUUGUAAUCUGAUUGGAGGUUUUUGAUUUCCUCUGAUGAGUUUAAAUUUCAUUAAAAGCAACCUUAUUCCCACAUAAAAGGAGCCCUUGAAGGGUAGAGCGGGGGAUUGUCUCACGGCGUCUAAAGCAGCGGACCCUUUGUGUCAUUUAUUCAUGGCGUUAAUUGUGAGGGCCAGCCCCGUGUCCGCCCGCAGCUGCGCCCUUAUCGGCCGGCAUCGGCGGGAGCGCCCAGCACAAGGACGCGCAUUCAGGCAUUCAGAAGCUGCUCUCGGGCGUAUUGACACUUCAGUUAUCAACAACUCUUGUUAUCAUCUGUGGGGAGGGGGCUCUCGGUGGGGGGGGGAGGGUGCUCCAAACGGCUGCCCCGCCGCCCGGCUGCCUUCUCCUAAUUGUGUGUAUUCUCUGCAAAGGCCGAUCGGCGCAGCCUCUUGUCUUGAUGAGAAAUUGACAUUUUCCGCGGCCUCGUUGGCGCGCGGGGCGCGGCGAUAAGGCUGGAGUGGUUUCCGGGGGGCGCCUCUCCCCGCAGCCGCCCCGCUGCUCCCGGUGACCUGCCUGAUGAGUAUGGAUUUCAUGAGGUCUUUUUCAGCAUCUGAACUAUAAAAGGUGCAGAAUGACACCACCCCUCAUAGACAGAAGGUAACCUUGCUCUUUGAAUAUAUCGAUUCUUUAUUAACUGGGCUGUUUAAUGCAAUGAAAUGAGGCAUUAGAUGGAAGCCCAUUUCGAGUGCUUUGAAUAAUCUUUAAGAGCUUGAAAACCUUCAAAGGCGGCCUGACAAUAAUUGGCACCCACUCUGAGGGCACUUCUCGCUUCUGAUUCGAAACACAAACAUACAGUCGCUUCUCUCUCCCCAGGAAAAGGACGCAGGGCUCUGGCCCCCAUCCCAGGCUGGGCUCCUGCCCGAGAGCAAGGAGGCAGGUGAACUGCGUCCCCAUCCCCCCCUCCCCUCGCAUCUUGGGACGGAGCCUGGGGGAGGGGAGUGGGCAGGCAGCAGCUUUGUACCUGGAGCCCUUCCUUGCUGCCUCUUUAAGGCUGAAACAAAUGCCGUCAAAGGAACCGACUGGCACUGGCAGGAGGAGGAGGGCGGCACAAGUUUCUUUAUGUUUUGAGUAAUUGUUUCCUGUUUUGCUCAGCAGAACAAGUAAUUAAGGGGACAUUUGUGAGCACUAAUUUGGAUCACACGUAUGUGUCUGUGUGAGAGCUGCGAGCCAAAACAUGCAGAACCACCUCUCAUUGAGGAGGAGAUGACAAACGCAGAAUAAAACAGAACGGGGUGCGGAGAACUCGCCGGAGCAGCUGAAAUCGGCAUGUGAAUUAGGGCCUCGGCAGCUCCUGUUACCGUGGGCACCUUUGGCUGCACCCACGUGCAGCCCACAGCGGCCGGGGCAGUGGCCGGGGCCUGUCAUGGCCUGGAGUCGGCGGGGGCAUCAUACCCUCACGUCAGACCUCAGGUCAGACCUCAGCUGGCGGCUGUAUCUGGAGCCCUGCUGUCCGCCCGCCCUGCGCCCCAUCCCCAGCCCCGCCCCACGCUCUCCUAAAGCUGAUCCUUGCCCAGUGGAGCACGGGAUGGGGACACAAGGAGCAUCUGCUCUGCCGGCCAAACCCUGCGGUUCAGAAGCAGCAGGGCUGGUGAGCGGUGUCCGCGCCCCCGUGAGCCUGGUGACAGUGCGUGUCCCUCAGGGCCACUGGCCCGAGUCUGACCGUCACCUGCAGACGUCUGUGUGAAACACACAGGUGGGACCAGGCCAUCUAAGUAACUCACACUCUCUCUCCGCAGGCGGGAUCACGUUGUAGAAGGUUCUUCCAUGAACCCUCCGUGUCGGCCGAGACAAUGCUCCGGGACCCCAGGUACGCAAAUGGCACCCCCAGGGUCCCUCGCGCGUGUGCAUCCAGGCGGGCGGCUCAAUAACCAAAACAUGGAAUUACCCAAAGUGAAAUUCACAGA